UCCAUUUGCGUAACUCAAAAUGGCCUUGC
rnacentral:sRNA from 1 species